AGGACGAACGCUGGCGGCGUGCUUAAAACAUGCAAGUCGAACGGACUUCUCAUGAAGCUUGCGAUUGAGAAGUUAGUGGCGGACGGGUGAGUAACGCGUGGGCAACCUGCCCCUGAGCCCGGGAUAACAGUUCGAAAGGACUGCUAAGACCGGAUAUACUUGCGGGGAAGCAUUUCACUGCAAGGAAAGGGAACGCUCAGGGAUGGGCCCGCGUCCCAUUAGCUAGUUGGUGAGGUAACGGCCCACCAAGGCGACGAUGGGUAGCCGGCCUGAGAGGGUGAACGGCCACACUGGGACUGAGACACGGCCCAGACUCCUACGGGAGGCAGCAGUUGGGAAUCUUCGGCAAUGGGCGCAAGCCUGACCGAGCAACGCCGCGUGAGUGAUGAAGGUUUUCGGAUUGUAAAGCUCUGUCUUCCGGGACGAUAAUGACGGUACCGGAGGAGGAAGCCACGGCUAACUACGUG
rnacentral:rRNA from 1 species